rnacentral:tRNA from 1 species
UCCCAGGUGGCUCAGCUGGUAAAGAAUCUGCCUACAGUGCAGGAGACCUGGGUUCGAUCCCUGGGUUGGGAA